UGAAAUUUUCAGACGAAUCAGACAACCUGUUGUUUGGUUGCUGCCCCUGAAUUUGUUAUUUUAAGGAAAUUUUGCAGUUUUUGGUUAUUAUCUUGAAUACUAUUAUAGAUAGAGAUAAACUGUAAACAGCAAUAAUGUUCAGCAAAGUAAGACCUACAAAUAAGUCAACAUGACCAAAAUUGUCGGUCAACCCCUUAAGGAGUUAUUGCCGUUUAUAGUCAAUUUUUAACAACUUUUCGUCAUUUUUUGCAACUUGUACAAAAAUCUUCUUCUCUGAAACUGCUGGGCCAAAUUUAACCAAACUUGGCCACAAUUAUCAUUGUGGUAUAUAGUAUAAAAAAAGUGUCUGAUGACCCCGCCUACCAAACAAAAUGGCCGACAUGGCUAAAAUUAGAACAUAGUGGUAAAAUGCAGUUUUUGCUUUAUAUCUUUGAAACUAAGACAUUUAUGGCAAAUCUUUCAAGAUUUAAAUGUCCAUCAGAAUAAGAUCUAUCCCCUCUCAAAAUUUCAGAUGAAUCUGACAACCGUUCAGCAAAGUAAGAUCUACAAAUAAGUCAACAUGAUCAAAAUUAUUAGAGGACCCCUUAAGGAGUUAUUGCCCUUUAUAGUCAGUAUUGAAUAACUUUUCGUCAUUUUUGUUACUUGUACAAAAAUCUUCUUUUCUAUAACUAUGGGCCAAAUUUAACCAAACUUGGCCACAAUCAUUACUAGGGUAUCUAUUUAAAAAAAGUGUCUAAUGAUCCCGCCUACCACCCAAGAUGGCCGACAUUAGUAAAUACAGUAACAGGUGAGCGACACAGGCUCUUUAGAGCCUCUAGUUAUCAAUGCAGAUCAUAUCAUAUGAACAAAUGUUGAGGGUAUAUGAUUUAUUUUGUUUCUGUUAAUUAAUGGUGAAACAUUUUGUUGAAUAUACAAUUAAGCUGCUGAUUAUGAACUUGCUUGAAUGAGAGGAUCA
rnacentral:lncRNA from 1 species